rnacentral:miRNA from 1 species
GUGAGUGGGGCUCCCAGGACGGCGCCCGCCCUGGCCCUGGCCCUGGCCCAGCCACGUCUCACGUUCCC